rnacentral:rRNA from 1 species
GCGGAGGGAUCAUUACUGAGUUUACGCUCUACAACCCUUUGUGAACAUACCUAUAACUGUUGCUUCGGCGGGUAGGGUCUCCGCGACCCUCCCGGCCUCCCGCCUCCGGGCGGGUCGGCGCCCGCCGGAGGAUAACCAAACUCUGAUUUAACGACGUUUCUUCUGAGUGGUACAAGCAAAUAAUCAAAACUUUUAACAACGGAUCUCUUGGUUCUGGCAUCGAUGAAGAACGCAGCGAAAUGCGAUAAGUAAUGUGAAUUGCAGAAUUCAGUGAAUCAUCGAAUCUUUGAACGCACAUUGCGCCCGCCAGCAUUCUGGCGGGCAUGCCUGUUCGAGCGUCAUUUCAACCCUCAAGCUCUGCUUGGUGUUGGGGCCCUACAGCUGAUGUAGGCCCUCAAAGGUAGUGGCGGACCCUCUCGGAGCCUCCUUUGCGUAGUAACUUUACGUCUCGCACUGGGAUCCGGAGGGACUCUUGCCGUAAAACCCCCAAUUUUCCAAAGGUUGACCUCGGAUCAGGUAGGAAUACCCGCUGAACUUAAGCAUAUCA